rnacentral:rRNA from 1 species
AUGACAGACACGGCAUACUUCAGCUUCAACGUGGAGGCCGGCGAGGUCUGGGCGGCGGCCGCGAAGGGCCGCAGGUGGGUCGAAUACCUUGUGUUCGCCGUUGGCCUCGUCACAGCAUCCAUGUCGGUCGCCUUGGCCAUCUACAAGGUGCCGGCCGGCGUCUUCGUCGAACACAGGCCCGCCUACUACGCGUCCGUCGUCGUGGCCGGCGUCAUCGGCCUAGCGGAGGCGUGCACGGCGGUGCUCUGGCUGUCGGCCGGCGCAGCCGAUGGCCCGCCGCAGGGGCAGCGCUUCGCACGGCGCUGCGUGAUGUGCGCUUCGCUCCUGCCGCUCGUGUUCAUGGCGGGCCUCGGUGGAGUCCGCAUCCUCGUCAAGUAA